rnacentral:rRNA from 1 species
UAAGGUAGCAUAAUCAUUAGUCCUUUAAUUGGGGACUGGUAUGAAUGGCUAAACGAGAAAUUUACUUUUUUUGUUAUAUAAAUAGAAUUUAUUUUUUUAGUGAAAAAACUAAAAUGACCUAGAAAGACGAGAAGACCCUAUAGAGUUUUAUAUAGUUACAAAGACAAAUUUUAAUUGAUUUUUAUUUAUUUUUCUUUGGCCUAUAAUUUGUUGGGGCGACAUUAAGAUAUGAAAAACUCUUUUUAUUUUAAACUUUUAUAGAAGAUUAUUUUGAUCCUUUAAAAAAGACAAUAAGAUAAAAUUACCUUAGGGAUAACAGCGUAAUCUUUUUUGAGAGUUCAUAUCGACAAAAAGGUUUGCGACCUCGAUGUUGGACUAAAAUUUAGGUGUGGUGCAGCAGCUUCACUUUAGGGUCUGUUCGACCCGUAAAAUUUUACACGAUCUGAGUUCAGACCGGCGUGAGCCAGGUUGGU